GGAGGAUCCGAGCGUUAUCCGGAUUUAUUGGGUUUAAAGGGAGCGUAGAUGGAUGUUUAAGUCAGUUGUGAAAGUUUGCGGCUCAACCGUAAAAUUGCAGUUGAUACUGGAUAUCUUGAGUGCAGUUGAGGCAGGCGGAAUUCGUGGUGUAGCGGUGAAAUGCUUAGAUAUCACGAAGAACUCCGAUUGCGAAGGCAGCCUGCUAAGCUGCAACUGACAUUGAGGCUCGAAAGUGUGGGUAUCAAACAGGAUUAGAUACCCUGGUAGUCCACACGGUAAACGAUGAAUACUCGCUGUUUGCGAUAUACAGCAAGCGGCCAAGCGAAAGCGUUAAGUAUUCCACCUGGGGAGUACGCCGGCAACGGUGAAACUCAAAGGAAUUGACGG
rnacentral:rRNA from 1 species